rnacentral:rRNA from 1 species
UUGGAUUUAACUUAGUGGCGGACGGGUGAGUAACGCGUGAGUAACCUGCCUUUCAGAGGGGGAUAACGUUCUGAAAAGAACGCUAAUACCGCAUAACAUGAAGCCACCGCAUGGUGAUUUCAUCAAAGGAGCAAUCCGCUGGAAGAUGGACUCGCGUCCGAUUAGCCAGUUGGCGGGGUAACGGCCCACCAAAGCGACGAUCGGUAGCCGGACUGAGAGGUUGAACGGCCACAUUGGGACUGAGACACGGCCCAGACUCCUACGGGAGGCAGCAGUGGGGGAUAUUGCACAAUGGGGGAAACCCUGAUGCAGCAACGCCGCGUGAGGGAAGAAGGUUUUCGGAUUGUAAACCUCUGUUCUUAGUGACGAUAAUGACGGUAGCUAAGGAGAAAGCUCCGGCUAACUACGUGCCAGCAGCCGCGGUAAUACGUAGGGAGCGAGCGUUGUCCGGAUUUACUGGGUGUAAAGGGUGCGUAGGCGGCGAGGCAAGUCAGGCGUGAAAUCUAUGGGCUUAACCCAUAAACUGCGCUUGAAACUGUCUUGCUUGAGUGAAGUAGAGGUAGGCGGAAUUCCCGGUGUAGCGGUGAAAUGCGUAGAGAUCGGGAGGAACACCAGUGGCGAAGGCGGCCUACUGGGCUUUAACUGACGCUGAAGCACG